GUAAAUGAUGAACUUGUUUAUCCAUUCUCUGAGUGCUGCUGGGCCUUGGCCCUGUAGCCCACUGGGCCUGUUCUGGGCCCAGAGGGUUCAGUUGCUUGGCUCCAUGCUGGUGCUCUAGUGUUCUACUGGGGUAACUGCGUUGGGGACAGGUGUGCUGGUACAUGGGCCAAGGUCCUGGCCACAACUAGGACGAUCAUAAACUCCUGAUCAC
ensembl:snoRNA small nucleolar RNA SNORD17